GCCAGUAGCUGCUGGAAACCCAACCCCAGAGGGAGGGGAAGCAAGAAGAGUUCCUCCCUGGGUUACUGAAGGGCUCCUGCGAUUAAACGCAGACACAGUUGUGGACUGAGUGUUGAACCCAGGGCAGUUCUGAACACCAGCAAUUGGACUAACCCACUCUCAUGUUUUGCAGGGUCAGGCUUGUCAGUCACUUACCUACGUGGAGCCCUGGCACCAAUGACAAGCUGUGGAAGCUGCGCUGCCUCCUGCCUCGGUGCCCAAAGCUGAGCUAUAGAGGAGCCAAGAUGUCUGCAGGUCAGAGUCAGAAAGCUGAGACCUGGGACAAAGGCACCUUGCAAGAGCUGAAGGUGCCCUUUGCCAGGACUGAAAUUGGGACCUUUUUCCAAGAACAGCCCAGGAUUGGAAACCAGUACCUAGAAGAUGCUUUCCUUCAGCGUUACUUGAAAACACACCUGCCAUCCCAGGUGCUGGAGAAGGUGAGUCUGGAUCUGGAGAGGUUUGGGGCCCGUGUAACGGCCGAGAUUGACUCUCUGGGGCGUGAGUGCGAGUUGAAUCCUCCUGCACUGCAGCACUAUGAUGCUUGGGGACGGCGUGUGGACCACAUUGUGACUUGCCCAGCCUGGAAGAGGAUGAAGGAGAUUGCAGCAGAGGAGGGGCUGAUCGCUGAGGCCUACGAGAGGAAAUACUCCAUCUGGAGCCGUGUGCAACAGGUUGCCAAGCUGUACCUAUAUGCACCCUCUGCUGGCCUUUUCACCUGCCCGCUGGCCAUGACUGAUGGAGCAGCUAAAGUCAUUGAGUCUCUGGGUAUUUCUGGGCCCCUAGCAAAAGCUUUUGGCCACCUGACCUCACGCGACCCCAAGAAGUUCUGGACCUCUGGCCAGUGGAUGACAGAACGCAAAGGAGGCUCUGAUGUCGCUAGCGGCACAGAGUCAGUGGCCAGAGAGCAGCCAGAUGGCACAUAUUGCCUCUACGGCUUUAAAUGGUUUACUUCAGCCACUGAUUCAGACAUGGCGCUGACCCUAGCAAGGAUCAUGGAGGCUCAGGGACGUGUAGAACAGGGCUCCAAAGGCCUGUCCCUGUUCUUCCUGGAGGUGCGAGAUAAGGAGGGGAAGCUGAAUGGCAUUGAGGUGCAAAGGCUAAAGGAGAAGCUGGGGACGAGGCAGGUGCCGACAGCUGAGCUGCUGCUGGAUGGAUCCAAGGCACACCGGAUCUCUGCAGAGGGUCGGGGUGUGGCCUCCAUUGCCAACAUGUUGACCAUAACUAGGAUCCACAAUGUCAUCUUUGCAGUGGCUGCCAUGAGGAGGGUGAUUAACCUGGCCAGAGAGUAUGCCGGCAAGCGGGUCGUCUUUGGGAAGCUCAUCAAGGACCAUCCCUUACACAUGCAAACCAUGGCCCGGCUGGAGGUGGAAACUCGAGGGGCCUUUCUCAUGCUCAUGGAGAUAGCCAGGCUGCUGGGAUUAGAGGAGACCAAGAUGGCCAGUGAGCAGGACCUGCAUCUUCUCAGGCUGCUGACGCCAGUUGCUAAGCUCUACACUGGGAAACAGGCGAUUGCUGUUAUUUCUGAGGGACUGGAGUGUUUUGGAGGGCAGGGCUACAUGGAGGACACAGGCUUGCCAGGCGCACUGCGAGAUGCCCAGGUGCUGACCAUCUGGGAGGGAACAACAAAUAUCCUCUCACUUGACGUGCUGCGCUCUCUCGCCAAAAGCCAAGGCCAGGUGCUAGCUGCAUUCUGCUCUGGAGUGCAGGUGUGUUCACUCACAGCAACAUUGAUCAUCCAGACGUUCACCUCCCUGGACCUGGCCUCUUGCUCCUACUGCAAGACCUGCUGGGAACACCACUGGCUUUACAGUGCUGAGCUGAUUGCAUCCAACCAGGCAUCUCCCCCACUCUCACUCAGUGCUGAGGCUGCUGCUGCCUGGCAUCCCAUGUUCCUUCCUUAUGGCUGUGAUUUGGGAAGGGGAAGGCCCCAGAGGGAUUUGACAGCUCUCCAGCUAUGGCUCUUGGUUUCAGGAACCAUGCACUACCUCAUCCAGUCCAUCCUUGAGGUUUGACUUACUGAACCAAUUCUCCUGUCCACACUCCGCAUGCCUGUCCCAACAAACAAUGUGAAAAAUGCCCCAGACUUUCUCUGGAGUGCACUGAAGCCCUUAAAAAGCCCACCCAGCUUUGCAUUUCAUUUAACACGAUUCCAGUAGGUUGGAGUGACACCCAGCAAAGCUUGGCUAACUGGCUGUCUCAUUGCAUCUCCCCAUGCUGCAGCCAGCUGGGCCUGUCGAGGCUCAUUCCACUUGGGGCUUCCAAGCUCAGAUCUGUCUAGUCAGGAGACAGCAGGUCUCUGCAUCCAGGUACCAAGCACUAUUGCUUAGACUAGGCUUCUAGACCAGAAUCCUGGUUUGACAUAGGGGUGUAACACAACCUGCUUCUGAGCUGCUGGUGCCCCAACUCUCCUGGCCUCUAGAAAUUGGAUUUAUUUUGUGUUUUUUAUUACCCACUCACAGCCACAGCCCUGGCAUCAGAGUGUGGGGCUGCUGGGAUCUUCACCUUUCGUGCCACCUGUGGACUACCACUGUGGCCUGUUUCUGUUUUCAUCUUCCAUGGCCUAGCCCUCCAGCCAGGUCACCUCCUAGGUAAUGAAAGUCCAAUUGAAAAUUCAAAUAAACAUCCAAACAAAGAUUCUUCUGCCCCUCCUGGGCUCUGUGCACUGCCUCCCCUCCCACUGUGCUUUUCCCCUGCGAGUGCUGCUUCUCAGCAGGGUUCCGCACUGCCUCCCCCCUCCCCCCCGGGGACACCGGGAACUUCUCCUAGGGACCUCCCUGCUACUUCCAGACAUCACUUCAGCCUGCCUUCACCAGGGUCUUCGCAGGGAGAGGGAGCUCCUUCCUCUGUAGUCCACUCUACAGCAGUGGGGGUCACUAGUUGUAAUUAAGUCCCCAGAUCAGAAUCAGCUGGGCGAUAACUGCUACCUCACAGGCAAGGCUGAAGCCAUCUGUUAAAGGGCCAGCCAGCAUAUGACACCCACCUUUUGGGGAGAGAGUUUAGCCCUCCGUAAAAGUAAUGGAUUGUUACCAUUCUAGGCAUGAGUCUUGUUUCCCACCGUUAUUGCCUCUUUUGCUACCUGGUACCAUUUGGUUUAGCUCCUGUCUACAGGAGUUGGAAUCUACUGUGAGGGGCAUCUCUAGAGGAAGGAACAUUGCUGGGAAUGUUUGUUCUCUGAGGGGGAUUCCCAUCCAGCCUCCUCCCCACAGAGCUAAGGGUCUGCUAUUUCUGCCUUUGACUUGUGUUAACUGGCUCUUGUUGGGAGUACGUUCUCCUCCUGCUUGGACAGCAAGUAAGUAUGGGAUACUGAAGGGUGCCACUAAGGGAGUUCCCACCUGGUCUCAUGCUGGAAGCCUGGUUCCAAGAGCAGUGAGCCACUGAAGUAUAUCUCCAGAGAACAUGAAUGACAGGGGAAGCUGGCGCUGGCUUCCAGCAUUUCAGAACUGGAAUCUUCUGUGCAGCUACUCCAGGAUGCUCU